CUGGGGAAACCCAGGCUAAUACCGCAUACGUCCUACGGGAGAAAGGGGGCUUCGGCUCCCGCUAUUGGAUGAGCCUAUGUCGGAUUAGCUAGUUGGUGAGGUAAUGGCUCACCAAGGCAACGAUCCGUAGCUGGUCUGAGAGGAUGAUCAGCCACAUCGGGACUGAGACACGGCCCGAACUCCUACGGGAGGCAGCAGUGGGGAAUAUUGGACAAUGGGGGCAACCCUGAUCCAGCCAUGCCGCGUGUGUGAAGAAGGCCCUCGGGUUGUAAAGCACUUUCAGCGAGGAAGAACGCCUAUCGGUUAAUACCCGGUAGGAAAGACAUCACUCGCAGAAGAAGCACCGGCUAACUCCGUGCCAGCAGCCGCGGUAAUACGGAGGGUGCAAGCGUUAAUCGGAAUUACUGGGCGUAAAGCGCGCGUAGGUGGCUUGAUAAGCCGGUUGUGAAAGCCCCGGGCUCAACCUGGGAACGGCAUCCGGAACUGUCAGGCUAGAGUGCAGGAGAGGAAGGUAGAAUUCCCGGUGUAGCGGUGAAAUGCGUAGAGAUCGGGAGGAAUACCAGUGGCGAAGGCGGCCUUCUGGACUGACACUGACACUGAGGUGCGAAAGCGUGGGUAGCAAACAGGAUUAGAUACCCUGGUAGUCCACGCCGUAAACGAUGUCGACCAGCCGUKGGGUGCCUAGAGCACUUUGUGGCGAAGUUAACGCGAUAAGUCGACCGCCUGGGGAGUACGGCCGCAAGGUUAAAACUCAAAUGAAUUGACGGGGGCCCGCACAAGCGGUGGAGCAUGUGGUUUAAUUCGAUGCAACGCGAAGAACCUUACCUACCCUUGACAUCUACAGAAGCCGGAAGAGAUUCUGGUGUGCCUUCGGGAACUGUAAGACAGGUGCUGCAUGGCUGUCGUCAGCUCGUGUUGUGAAAUGUUGGGUUAAGUCCCGUAACGAGCGCAACCCUUGUCCUUAUUUGCCAGCACGUAAUGGUGGGAACUCUAAGGAGACUGCCGGUGACAAACCGGAGGAAGGUGGGGACGACGUCAAGUCAUCAUGGCCCUUACGGGUAGGGCUACACACGUGCUACAAUGGCCGGUACAAAGGGCUGCGAGCUCGCGAGAGUCAGCGAAUCCCUUAAAGCCGGUCUCAGUCCGGAUCGGAGUCUGCAACUCGACUCCGUGAAGUCGGAAUCGCUAGUAAUCGUGAAUCAGAAUGUCACGGUGAAUACGUUCCCGGGCCUUGUACACACC
rnacentral:rRNA from 1 species